GACGAACGCUGGCGGCGUGCUUAACACAUGCAAGUCGAACGAUGAAGCUGAAGCUUUUGUUUUGGUGGAUUAGUGGCGAACGGGUGAGUAAUACGUGAGUAACCUGCCCUUGUCUUUGGGAUAAGCCUGGGAAACUGGGUCUAAUACCGGAUAACAGUGUUUAACACAUGUUAGAUGCUUGAAAGAUGCAAAUGCAUCACUAGUAGAUGGACCUGCGUUGUAUUAGCUAGUUGGUGGGGUAACGGCCUACCAAGGCGACGAUACAUAGCCGACCUGAGAGGGUGAUCGGCCACACUGGGACUGAGACACGGCCCAG
rnacentral:rRNA from 1 species